UAACAAUAAGCCCACUACAUGUUUCACAUAAUCAUAGUAUUUUCUUUUUCUUUUUGGAGACAGGGUCUGACUCUGUCACCCAGGCUGGAGUGUGGUGGCACAAUCAUAGCUCACUGCAGCCUUGACCUCCUGGGCCUGAGCCAUCCUCCCACCUCAGCCUCUCGAGUGGAUGGGGCUACAGGUGCACACCACCACGUCCUGAACAAUACUUUCGAAGUAAAAAAAAUCUGCUUGAAUGACUCCAGAAGUCCCACAGCCAGUGAGUAACACAGUGCAUCAUGGAGAGUAGUAUGAAAUAUUUGUAUUCACUUAAAGUGGAAAGACAAUCUGCACACCUGGAGGAGAUAUUUGCAACAUUUACAACUGGCAAAGGUUUAUUACCAAGAAUAUAUAAAGAAGUCUUAUAAAUCAACAAGAAAGAAGAAAAACAACAGAAAGAAAUGGACAAAAGAAAAAGCAUUUUAUAAAAGAAGAAAUGCUCAUGGCCAGCAAACAUAUGGAGAUGUUCAAACUCAUGUGAAAUGUAAAUCAAGACCCAAUAAGAUAAGCUUUUAUGUCCACUAAAAUGGCAAAAUGUUAAUAGCUAGACAAUCCAAGUAUUGGAGAACAUACAGAUCCAUGGGAUCUCUUACAUAUCGCUUAUAAGGGUACGCAUUAGGACAUAGGACACUCACUUAGAAAAAGUGUGGCAUUAUCUUGCAAAAUCAAACACUCACAUAGGCUGCUGUGCAGGUCCUGAGUCUGUUUGCCCUCAGAUCCACUCUUUGCUAUGCCCUUAUGUCCUCAGUUUUCCAGCAGGAUCUCGGCAGCCAUGUCAUCUUGCUUCCAGUUGGGCUCAGUUAAUAAAAGAGAGAGAAUGGAAGGUGGAAAGAAGGGAGAAGCCAAGGUGUUUCUCACCAGCACCCUCCCCUUCUCCUCUCAGGUAACAUCCCCUGUGGUGGCCACAGCUCUCCGAUGGGUCCAGUUCCCACAGGAAAGCCAGCCAUGAUUCUAACUUCUACCAGGUGACCCUGGCCCUGGGCUCUGGUGACACUAACCUUUUGUUUCUCUAGUCCUGGGGAGGGGUAGUAACAGCUUCCUGCUAUUAUUAAUUUAUGGAUUGCCUCAUUGCCUCCUGUGAGGCUUCUCAGCUAUUGAUUACCAUACUACUCAGCAAUAAAAAGGAAAAAACUAUUGAUACAUGCAACAACUUUGUCGGACCACAAGAGAAUUUUACCAACUAAAAAAGCCAGUCUCACAUUGUUACAUACUAUAUGAUUCCACUUACAUAACCUUCUAGAAAUGACAAAAUUAUUGAGGUGAAGAACAGAUUAGUGGUUGCCAAGGGUUAAAGACAGGGUUGGGGUUGGAGAAAGAAAUCAGUGUACCUAAAAAGAAGCAGCCAGAGGGAUCUUUGUGGUGACGGGACAGUUCUGUAUCUUGAUUGUGGUGGUGGUUAUACAAAUCUACGUGUAAUAAAGUUUUAUGUGUGCAUAGAACUAUGUACAUACUCAAACAAAUGCAUGUAACCCUGGUGAAAUCUGAAUAAGGUCUGUGGAUUGUGCCAAUACCAGUGACCUGGUUUUGAUACUGUAUUAUAGCUAUCUAAGACAUUAUUAUCAGGAGAAAAUGGGGGAAAGGUACAUGUACUUUUCUGUACUAUUUUUGCAACUUCUCGUGAAUCUGUUACUAUUUCAAAAUUAAAAGUAUCUGAAAAUCCAUAGAGUGGUUUCUGUUUUUUCUGAUUAGACCCUGACUGAUACUCCUACAACCCCA
rnacentral:lncRNA from 1 species